UACCUACGGGAGGCAGCAGUGGGGGAUAUUGCACAAUGGGGGCAACCCUGAUGCAGCGACGCCGCGUGAGCGAUGGAGUACUUCGGUAUGUAAAGCUCUGUCAGCAGGGAAGAGAAUGACGGUACCUGACCAAGAAGCCCCGGCUAAAUACGUGCCAGCAGCCGCGGUAAUACGUAGGGGGCAAGCGUUAUCCGGAUUUACUGGGUGUAAAGGGAGCGUAGACGGUUAUGUAAGUCUGGAGUGAAAGCCCGGGGCCCAACCCCGGGACUGCUUUGGAAACUGUGUAACUGGAGUACAGGAGGGGG
rnacentral:rRNA from 1 species